GCUAGCGUUGUUCGGAAUCACUGGGCGUAAAGGGCGCGUAGGCGGCCGAUCAAGUCGGGGGUGAAAGCCUGUGGCUCAACCACAGAAUUGCCUUCGAUACUGUUUGGCUUGAGACCGGAAGAGGUUAGUGGAACUGCGAGUGUAGAGGUGAAAUUCGUAGAUAUUCGCAAGAACACCAGUGGCGAAGGCGGCUGACUGGUCCGGUUCUGACGCUGAGGCGCGAAAGCGUGGGGAGCAAACAGG
rnacentral:rRNA from 1 species